rnacentral:rRNA from 1 species
UACGUAGGGUGCAAGCGUUAAUCGGAAUACUGGGCGUAAAGCGUGCGCAGGCGGUGAUGUAAGACAGAUGUGAAAUCCCUGGGCUCAACCUGGGAACUGCAUUUGUGACUGCAUCGCUGGAGUGCGGCAGAGGGGGAUGGAAUUCCGCGUGUAGCAGUGAAAUGCGUAGAUAUGCGGAGGAACACCGAUGGCGAAGGCAAUCCCCUGGGCCUGCACUGACGCUCAUGCACGAAGCGUGGGAGCAAACAGG